CUCUUUUAUUAAUCAUUUUUAUUUUAGGCUUCGAGAACGAGCUGUUCGUCUUUGUUUCCUAUGAAUUUCGUGUGCUACUCCACUUCCUGAUAGAAUUGAUUUCUGAAGUCGUGUGGAGUGGGGCGAUCGAUUGAUUUCUGGUUCAAGCUCAUUGAUGUUUUGCUGAUUCUAGUCAGAAGAGAUGAUACAUAAUUGCAAAUAUCUCCAAGAUCAGGAGAGGCUGGCGAGAUUUCGGCUAUGGACUUCUUCGUGAGUACAGUGGGUCCAUUGAAAGAACCUCCUCUCGUUACUGCCAAUACUGUUCUGUAUCAAGGAGAUUGCAGGUACAGUGUCGCCUAGGUGUGAGGUUCGUCUUCACCCGGAUUCGCAAGGUUGAGUAUACCUCUUUCGUCCUUAGAAUUUGGGUUAGGUGAUCGUAAAACCCUUAGUUUGCCCUAGUCAUCCUCAAGUGAGUGUCAUCUGUGGUCUGUCAGUUUCCCUUUUCAUUUGGGUUUGCGAGUCGGGCAUUUGGUUGGC